rnacentral:rRNA from 1 species
UACGGGGGGUGCGAGCGUUGUCCGGAAUCAUUGGGCGUAAAGAGUUCGUAGGUGGCGUGUAGAGUCUGGUGUUAAAGACUGAAGCUUAACUUCAGUAUGGCACUGGAUACUUGCAGGCUAGAAUGCGGUAGAGGUAAAGGGAAUUUCUGGUGUAGCGGUGAAAUGCUUAGAUAUCAGGAAGAACAUCGGUGGCGUAAGCGCUUUACUGGGCCGUAAUUGACGCUGAGGAACGAAAGCCGGGGUAGCAAAU